rnacentral:rRNA from 1 species
AAACCAAGGAAUUUAGUCAUUCUUUUACGGUAAAAAGACAGUUAGGCAGAAAACAUAAUCAUUAGAUCCUUAGUAGAGGAGUAAAAUCUAUAUACUAAAAGCUAUAUCGGACAUGAUUUAUUUAAGGUGCUGAAUCUGUGAUAGCUUUAAGGGAAACUGGGAUUGGAUACCCCAUUAUUUUUAGUUGUAAAUUUAGUUUAGGCUUACCGGAGUACUACGAAUAAAAAGUUUAAAACUCAAAGGGCUUGGCGGUGUUUUAGACCUCUCAGGGGAACCUGUCUCAUAAUCGACAAUCCACGUUAGACCUAACCUUUUAUGGUAAUUCAGCCUGUAUACCGUCGUCGUCAGGUAACUUUUAAAAAUACAGAAGUUAGCUCGAGAACUAUAUUAAUUAAGACGUCAGAUCAAGGUGCAGCUAAUGAGAGGGUGAGGAUGGGUUACAAUUAUAUAUUUAUAACUACGGAAAACAUUUGAAAUGAAAUGCCUUAAAGGAGGACUUGAAAGUAAUUUUGAUUAUAUAAGUAAAAUGAAUAAGGCUCUGAAACGUG